AGUCGAGCGAGAAAGUCUCUUCGGAGAUGAGUAAAGCGGCGCACGGGUGAGUAACACGUGGGCAAUCUGCCCUCGAGUCUGGGAUAACCCGGGGAAACUCGGGCUAAUACCGGAUACGGCUGCGGGGUCUUCGGAUCCUGUGGAGAAAGAUGGCCUCUUCUUGAAAGCUAUCUCUCGAGGAUGAGCCCGCGUCCUAUUAGCUAGUUGGUGGGGUAACGGCUCACCAAGGCAAAGAUGGGUAGCUGGUCUGAGAGGAUGACCAGCCACACUGGAACUGAGACACGGUCCAGACUCCUACGGGAGGCAGCAGUAGGGAAUUUUGGGCAAUGGGCGAAAGCCUGACCCAGCAACGCCGCGUGUGGGAUGAAGGCCCUCGGGUCGUAAACCACUGUCAGGAGGAAAGAAAAGCCAUCCGGGUAAUAUUCGGGUGGCCUGACGGUACCUCCAAAGGAAGCACCGGCUAACUCCGUGCCAGCAGCCGCGGUAAUACGGAGGGUGCAAGCGUUGUUCGGAAUUACUGGGCGUAAAGCGCGUGUAGGUGGUUGAGUAAGUCGAAUGUGAAAGCCCCGGGCUCAACCCGGGAAGUGCAUCCGAAACUGCUCGACUAGAGUCCCGGAGAGGAAGGCAGAAUUCCCAAUGUAGGGGUGAAAUCCGUAGAUAUUGGGAGGAAUACCGGUGGCGAAGGCGGCCUUCUGGACGGUGACUGACACUCAGACGCGAAAGCGUGGGGAGCAAACAGGAUUAGAUACCCUGGUAGUCCACGCUGUAAACGUUGCGAACUAGGUGUCGGGGGUAUU
rnacentral:rRNA from 1 species